UAAACUACUGUGUCUGUAGUGGUAGAGGAUUGGUGUAAUCCGUCUAUACCUGUGUUGAACAGCUACUGAGGAUAACUACGGUCUUAUACUCUUGGAGUAGGCACCCUAAAAUGUUCCCCGCUCGAUGGAACAUUCAAAUUCAGGUCACAACUCCGUCAGGUUAAUGCCGCUCUGCUGCUACCCGGCUCUCAGCCUAGGAGUGUGGACCCCCGGAUUUGAGUUAGACGUCUGGUGACCUGAGGUCAACUAUUAGCAUUCAGAGCGUUGCUGCUCAAUCUAGCCGAGUCUUUUUCCCCCUCAUUCUUUCGUUCUUUCUCGCUCUUUCAUCCUCUCUACGUGUCUCUCCUCAAUGGGUGCUUCACAACGCAGUCGGAGAGGAACUCGGUUGUUUUCUGCUUCUUGCCCGGCGUAGAAAUUGGCGCCCAUUUUGGGGGUGGAAGGCGCGUGCUGCCGCCGAGACGAUCGCAAGCCAGGUAACAUGAAUUCUCUGUGAAUGUUCUUGUUGACUGCUCAUUCAGACUUCUUUGCUGUUGUAUCCGUGUGAGCCACAUGUGUAGCCAGCGGAGAGUAGUGGUACGGGCGACCCUUUUCUCUCUCUCGUUCUAAGCAUGGGGGAGCCGUACAUAGCUAGUAUACAGCCGUGCUGUACAUGAGGAUUCAAUGUUAGAUUACACGGACUACUGCAGCCUGUGAUGAAUUGCCUAUCCUACCUAUAUGGAUCUACAUGUACCUAUACACGGCCACGUCUAGGACGUUUCUUUUUGCUCGUUCGCCUUGUACAGUGAAAGGCGUCUAGUAGAUCUCGAUUAACAGCUGGAACCUAAUGGAAUUUAUUGUGGAAUAAAUCCGGUUUUAAUGUCCGUCUUUUUUUUGAACUACCAGUCAAAACAAAUGAAGCUCCAUCUUGGAUCUUAAUAUCAAGGAAUUCUAGGAUCUAUGUGGAUAUACUCAGUUAGGACUAGACCAGCAUAAAAGGUAAGUUCCCUAUAGACCAAAGUUUUUGAUUGUUUCUUUUUAUAUGAGGAAUAUCCAUAUCUCUGCUGUCUAAAUGGUUGUGAAAUCUUCUCUGGCAACAUUAUUUUACUCCAAUCAGAUUAUUAUGUCAAAGGUAUAGGGUGAUGGGAAUGGGCUGCAAUUGUUUGUCUUUUAUUCUAAGGUUUAAAAAGUUUUAGUUGGGGUAAGGUGUAGGGUAGGUGUAGGUGCUGGUGUUUAGAACUUUGGCUUAGACUUAGGGUUAGGGUCAGGGUAAGGUUAGGGUUUGGGUCAGGGUAAGGU